CAAGAGGAGCAGCUGUCGUUUCAACCGGACUGCUACCAACACCCCGAAUCCUCAGGUUGUGGACUUUAUCACUUGUUCUGUUUGUACCAAUUGCAUUUGCCUUUUUAAAUUGUUAUCUAGUUUUCUCCUAGUAAAGAAUUGUUACUCCCAUUCCCAUAUCUUUGCCUGAGAGCCUUUUAAUUUAAAAAUCCUGGUAAUUCGGAGGGAGGGGGUUUACCUUCUCCAUUGCACAGGAGGCUUCUGCCCUCCUUCACAGAUUCCUGUCUUGUCAAAUCAAGACAGUUACAUUGAUUAGUAGUGCUGUAUUAGCAUUUUAAUGGUAGGGUAAAUGUAGAUUUGUUGUUAAAACGGAGCUUUUGUGGUUAAAACAGAAACUCUGUGUGUGGGAAGAAAGGAAUGCGGUACUUGCACCAGGAUGGCAGUCGCAGGACACCAAAAUCUUCCAGAGAAAAAGAAUUUACAGCUUAUUGUAAAUGCAGGCGAGCCGGGGGGAAGAAAUGACGAUGCCUGACUCCAGCUCAGAAGGAUGAAUGGUUUCUUUAUUAGAACUAUACUAAUAUACAUUAAUAUACUGUUUAAAGGAGACACUAAAACUACAAACCUGCUUUUUCUAACUCCCAAAUCUAACUCCUCACAACUCGUGACCCUCUCUGAGAUUCCAGCCCUAGGUGGGUUGGAUUGGCCCCAGGCUCAAACGAUCCUCACCAGAACCCAACCCAGCAACCACCCCACAACAAUUUGGGUAACAAAUGGUUAAACAAUUCUCCAAACACGUUCCACAUACUAAAACAAGCAGCAGAAACAGAAAUUGUUUUCUCUUUCGUUUCCCUCUGUGUUCCUCUGUGAAAAAUGCUGGGAGGCAGAGCAAUGUGCUGCCACAAGGGCUCCCUGAUUAAAGGAAAUUCACUCUCCGUGCCCCGCUCAGCCCUGCGGGCGCCGCGGGAUUGAGCAGAGGCUGCCACUGCUCCGGGUUCUGUGACUGGACAGGAUUGAUGCAUCAUGCAUGAGAUCGAUGAAUAUGCAACAGGCUGCUGCUUUUAGGUU
rnacentral:lncRNA from 1 species